CCGAUAUUCAGUUUUCGGAAUUGCAACUUUUCGAGAUGCUGUCCACCACUUCUCAAAUUGCGGCAUUUUGAUUUUUCGGGAUUAUGCAGACGUAAUCUUAAAAUCUACAUAUGAUGACCUAUGUAGAUGGCUUGUAGUAGAAUUGUGCCCUGCUAUAGGCCAUCUGAAGAGGCGUAAAUUAUCCUUGAGAGCGUCGAAGUAGCGUCAAAAUUUCCUCUCGGGAGGGAACGUUUCGGGCGGAAUAUCGAGCGAGCAAAUGUCGACGUUCGGGAAACGCGGGAGCAGAGAAAGGCGAGAGAGGAGAACUCGGCUGGUUUUUAUCAUCGCGCUUCCUCCCUAACGAUCUUCUCAUCCGUUCGAGGGGCCAGCGGGUUUGAAGCAGAAUGGGGAAGGAAGCCAACGUGGAGCAGCGAGUAAACGGGAACGAACGGACGUCGAAAAAGUUGCGACGGUUGUUUUCUCAUACGACACAGACCUCCUAGGGACGUCGUAAGGGCGUGCAGAUGACGUUCUACGUCCUGAGAACGUAAUCUCGGGCACUGAGAUUCUUUUCAUCGCAACAGUGGAUAGCUGAAUAGCGCGCGCCCGUGUUGUAUUAGUUGAUAAAAAAUGUUACAAUCAUCGCAUUGAA